rnacentral:rRNA from 1 species
UACGGGGGGGGCAAGCGUUGUUCGGAAUUACUGGGCGUAAAGGGCUCGUAGGUGGCCAACUAAGUCAGACGUGAAAUCCCUCGGCUUAACCGGGGAACUGCGUCUGAUACUGGAUGGCUUGAGUUCGGGAGAGGGAUGCGGAAUUCCAGGUGUAGCGGUGAAAUGCGUAGAUAUCUGGAGGAACACCUGUGGCGAAAGCGGCGCACUGGACCACAACUGACGCUGAGGCGCGAAAGCUAGGGGAGCAAACAGG